AUUGAACGCUGGCGGCAUGCCUUACACAUGCAAGUCGAACGGCAGCACGGGAGCAAUCCUGGUGGCGAGUGGCGAACGGGUGAGUAAUACAUCGGAACGUGCCCAAUCGUGGGGGAUAACGCAGCGAAAGCUGUGCUAAUACCGCAUACGAUCUACGGAUGAAAGCAGGGGACCGCAAGGCCUUGCGCGAAUGGAGCGGCCGAUGGCAGAUUAGGUAGUUGGUGGGGUAAAGGCUCACCAAGCUAACGAUCUGUAGCUGGUCUGAGAGGACGACCAGCCACACUGGGACUGAGACACGGCCCAGACUCCUACGGGAGGCAGCAGUGGGGAAUUUUGGACAAUGGGCGCAAGCCUGAUCCAGCCAUGCCGCGUGCAGGAUGAAGGCCUUCGGGUUGUAAACUGCUUUUGUACGGAACGAAACGGCCUUUUCUAAUAAAGAGGGCUAAUGACGGUACCGUAAGAAUAAGCACCGGCUAACUACGUG
rnacentral:rRNA from 1 species